UUGGAGGGCAAGUCUGGUGCCAGCAGCCGCGGUAAUUCCAGCUCCAAUAGCGUAUAUUAAACUUGUUGCAGUUAAAAAGCUCGUAGUUGAAUUUUUGCGUGGUGUUAAUAUUGACUGAUGUCGAGAUUGCACUUCGCUUUUGGGAUUUUUCCCUUUUUACUUUGAGAAAAUUAGAGUGUUUCAAGCAGACUUUUGUCUUGAAUACUUCAGCAUGGAAUAAUAGAGUAGGACUUUGGUUCUAUUUUGUUGGUUUGUGAACCUUAGUAAUGGUUAAUAGGAACGGUUGGGGGCAUUCGUAUUUAACUGUCAGAGGUGAAAUUCUUAGAUUUGUUAAAGACGAACUACUGCGAAAGCAUUUGCCAAGGACGUUUUCAUUAAUCAAGAACGAAAGUUAGGGGAUCGAAGACGAUCAGAUACCGUCGUAGUCCUAACCA
rnacentral:rRNA from 1 species